UACGUAGGGUGCGAGCGUUAAUCGGAAUUACUGGGCGUAAAGCGUGCGCAGGCGGCUUUGUAAGCCAGAUGUGAAAUCCCCGGGCUCAACCUGGGAAUGGCAUUUGGGACUGCAAGGCUGGAGUACGGCAGAGGAGACUGGAAUUCCUGGUGUAGCAGUGAAAUGCGUAGAUAUCAGGAGGAAUACCGAUGGCGAAGGCAGGUCUCUGGGCUGAUACUGACGCUCAUGCACGAAAGCGUGGGGAGCAAACAGG
rnacentral:rRNA from 1 species